UGGUAUCUAUUCCACAUUGCGGAUUUUGGCCGAGACUUUACUUCCAAAUAUAAAUCUGGCUUUCAAGAUGCCAUGACAGAAGACAACAUUAACAAAGACAACCAGGAGAGCUACUGUGCUGACAGUGAGGAGUGUGUCUGAGGAAUGGGGAAGCAGCAGUGAACAAAGGAGAGCUGUGUGGCCUGGAGGGGAAGAAGGAAGCAAGCUGACACUCAGAGAGUAAGGAAUGGAGAAGAAGUAGCAUGAGAGUGCCCUGUGGUGAGAAGGGAGAUAAGAAAACUGGAGCAGAAGGGAGACUUUCCAUGGAUGGCAGCUCCUUCAGGAACAUCCAUCUGCUCUGCUGCUAGUCCUCCACAGGCUGCAAAGAACACUUGCUCUGGCGUGGGGAACCUCCUUCUCCUCCUCCUCUGACACUUGUGUUCCCUCUGCUGGUUUUCAGUUGUUUUUUGUGUGGUUUUUUUGUUUUGUUUUUUUAUGUCUUUUUGGUUUUUAUUUUGGUUGUUUUUGUUGUUUUUUUGGGGUUUUUUUUUGUUUUCCUCUCUCCCUGUAGUACUUUUGUCCCUAAAGUAUGUUUUCACAGUUGGCACCAGCUUGGCUUGGCACCAGCCAUGUCCUGUGGUGGGUUAGUUUUGAAGCCAGCUGAAAACAUCUGUGUCCAGAGAAGAGCAGUCCAUGCCUUCUCCUUUCAGAGGCCACCCCUGCAACCCUCUGUUACCAACAGCCUGAUUGAUGCACCCAAUACACAAUCAUACCCUUUUUUUAAUUCAAAUGCCCUCAGAAGAAGUAGAAUUAUCAGUGAUACUGAAAGUUCUGCUCUAGUCAAAACGGUGGAAUAUAUACACAGCUUUGAAAAAGAGAUCCCUUAUUGAAUUGUUUAAAUCUGGUAUUCCUAAUCUAUUUUCAAAAACCUUGGGAAUCUGAUAAUAUUAAAGGCAGCAGCUGAACAGAAUGCCUCAGAUGUAAUUGUGUGACUAUAAAAGUAUUUGUGAGCAUCUUCUUGGAUAAAUAAUGCAUCAAUAUUAGAUCUACUUUUAUUUAGCUAAUUGAAAAAAAGCUCUAGAUUAUUUUUACUUACUUUAAGUAAUAUAAAGUUCUUUAGAAUUAUGAAUUUCUAUAAUAAUUUUACAUUCCAUGAAAAUAUUAUUAAAUAUAAAAUAUUACUUUAAAUGUAUGUAUAUAUAAAAAAAAAUUGUUCCUUUCCUGUAGCUUAUGAAACCAUCCCUUCUUUUAUUGACUUUAGUUUUUGAAAGAAAAUAUUUUGAAAUUGACUAUUUAUAAUAAAACCAUGAUCACGCUAUAGAAGGGCUGCCUCUACUACCCUUGUACUGCCCUUGUUACUGCCUACAAAACAUCCAGUUCUCUGCUAUCUGUGACAGAGCUUACAGGAAACAACUCUGGAAACCUAUUUCUCUUGCAUUUUUAAAUGUUUUUUCCCAUUGUCUCUAAAUAUAAGACAAUAUAUUUCAAAGUAUGUAACAUGAGGUAAUGCAUUGAAUUAUACUACUAUGCCACCUACAGCCACAUGUAUGCAUUUCUGCCAGAAAAGCUUUUUCCUUAGGUAAAAAUAAUUACACAAAAAGCAAUCUGAUCUAAACAUGCAGUGCAGUGUCUCUGUUUGUGUUCCCUCUCUUCCAAGCAAACAUAGCACUGAUGAAAACAUACUGAGCUCUCGGUAGUUUAUAGAGGAAAAAGUAUUGAUUGGUAUAAUUAUCUUUUCAGUCAAAAAAGCCUGAAAGAAAAACUAAAACAAAAACUCCCCAAAUAUAAUAAAGACUGCUUCUACAUUGUUUUUAUGCAAUGAAUAAAGUUUUAAUGCUUUAA